rnacentral:rRNA from 1 species
AUACGUGCCAGCAGCCGCGGUAAUACGUAUGGUGCAAGCGUUAUCCGGAUUUACUGGGUGUAAAGGGAGCGUAGACGGAGAGGCAAGUCUGAAGUGAAAGCCCGGGGCUCAACCCCGGGACUGCUUUGGAAACUGCAGUUCUAGAGUGCCGGAGAGGUAAGCGGAAUUCCUAGUGUAGCGGUGAAAUGCGUAGAUAUUAGGAGGAACACCAGUGGCGAAGGCGGCUUACUGGACGGUGACUGACGUUGAGGCUCGAAAGCGUGGGGAGCA